rnacentral:rRNA from 1 species
UACGUAGGGUGCGAGCGUUAAUCGGAUUUACUGGGCGUAAAGCGUGCGCAGGCGGCCCGUUAAGACAGGUGUGAAAACUCACGGCUCAACCUAGGAAUUGCGCUUGUGACUGGCGGGCUCGAGUACGGUAGAGGGGGGUGGAAUUCCUGGUGUAGCAGUGAAAUGCGUAGAGAUCAGGAGGAACACCGAUGGCGAAGGCAGCCCCCUGGGCCUGUACUGACGCUCAUGCACGAAAGCGUGGGGAGCAAACAGG